rnacentral:rRNA from 1 species
UGCGUAGGCGGCGUUGUAAGACAGAGGUGAAAUCCCACAGCUCAACUGUGGAAUUGCCUUUGAUACUGUAAUGCUUGAAUCAGGUUGAGGUCGGCGGAAUGUGGCAUGUAGCGGUGAAAUGCUUAGAUAUGCCAUAGAACACCAAUUGCGAAGGCAGCUGGCUAGACCUGUAUUGACGCUGAGGCACGAAAGCGUGGGGAGCGAACAGGAUUAGAUACCCUGGUAGACC